GACGAACGCUGGCGGCGUGCUUAACACAUGCCAGUCGAACGGAAAGGCCCUGCUUUUGUGGGGUGCUCGAGUGGCGAACGGGUGAGUAACACGUGAGUAACCUGCCCUUGACUUUGGGAUAACUUCAGGAAACUGGGGCUAAUACCGGAUAGGAGCUCCUGCCGCAUGGUGGGGGUUGGAAAGUUUCGGCGGUUGGGGAUGGACUCGCGGCUUAUCAGCUUGUUGGUGGGGUAGUGGCUUACCAAGGCUUUGACGGGUAGCCGGCCUGAGAGGGUGACCGGCCACAUUGGGAUUGAGAUACGGCCCAGACUCCUACGGGAGGCAGCAGUGGGGAAUAUUGCACAAUGGGCGGAAGCCUGAUGCAGCAACGCCGCGUGCGGGAUGACGGCCUUCGGGUUGUAAACCGCUUUCGCCUGUGACGAAGCGUGAGUGACGGUAAUGGGUAAAGAAGCACCGGCUAACUACGUG
rnacentral:rRNA from 1 species